AACACUGCUGUUGAAUUAAUCUAAUACUACAUGACUGUCCACAUGGAGGACCUACAACAUUGAGAUUUCACACGAACUUCACAUUCGAAAGAAGAGGUUCCUGGUCAGGAUUAAUCCUGACUCCAGCAAAUACAGUGCCAAGGUCCACAAAAGUUGGAAAGCUGGAGGAACUAUAAUGCAGAAGAUGUCAUACAUGAAAAAGUCUAAGAAGAGAUCUGCUCUUCAUUUUGCUGUGGAACAGUAUUGUGAAAAUGACAGACUGAACGGUGAUGUAAUCACUAAAAUCCCAGCAAGUCCCCUUUGUUCAAACAUGGAAAAGGGUGUGUUCUGUGUGCAUGUGGAUAUGUCUUGGCGGACGAGGCUGAGGGCAGUGGCGCUGAGGUUAGCACAACAAGCUGAUCGGCGUGCGAGCCAGUCACACUAUGGCAGUACAGCGGAGCUGGAAGACCCACUGCAGGUUACUGGUCAGUGAAUGAUACUACAACAACAAUGGAGAGACAGGUGUGUAUGAGACGAGGACCAUGUCUGUGUGCAUUGUGCCCCUGUUGUAAGCUAACAUUAUGUGAAUGGAAACAUGAAACUAACGCACAUUAAAAAUCACCCAGAUCACAGGAAUGAGGGAAAAACAAACCAGAGCCCAACUCCUUUUCCCACUACUUUCAAGCCAAUACUAUAUAAUACUAUAUUUCAUGCAGCCUUUAGAUGCUUUAGAAAAACAGAACAGGAUGAAUAAUGACUGAAGCAAUUGGCAUAUUAUAUUUCAUUACCAUAUCUAGCCAAGGUGCACAACAAAUUGUAACCACUCAUACCACACAGUUUGUUUGCAUUUUUGAUUUC